rnacentral:rRNA from 1 species
UACGUAGGGUGCGAGCGUUGUCCGGAAUUAUUGGGCGUAAAGGGCUCGUAGGCGGUUUGUCGCGUCGGGAGUGAAAACCCAGGGCUUAACCCUGGGCUGGCUUCCGAUACGGGCAGACUAGAGGUAUGCAGGGGAGAACGGAAUUCCUGGUGAGCGGUGAAAUGCGCAGAUAUCCAGAGGAACACCAGUGGCGAAGGCGACUCACUGGGCUCCACC